rnacentral:rRNA from 1 species
GACACGACCGUACCGCAAACCGACACUGGUUCGCGAGAUGAGUAUUCUAAGGCGCUUGAGAGAACUCAGGAGAAGGAACUCGGCAAAUUGACACCGUAACUUCGGAAGAAGGUGUGCCUUUAGUAGGUGAAGGGAUUUACUCAUGGAGCCCAAUGAGGUUGCAAAAAAUCGGUGGCUGCGACUGUUUAUUAAAAACACAGCACUCUGCAAACACGAAAGUGGACGUAUAGGGUGUGACGCCUGCCCGGUGCUGGAAGAUUAAAUGAUGGGGUGCAAGCUCUUGAUUGAAGUCCCAGUAAACGGCGGCCGUAACAAUAACGGUCCUAAGGUAGCGAAAUUCCUUGUCGGGUAAGUUCCGACCUGCACGAAUGGCGUAACGAUGGCCACACUGUCUCCUCCUGAGACUCAGCGAAGUUGAAAUGUUUGUGAUGAUGCAAUCUCCCCGCGGAAAGACGGAAAGACCCCAUGAACCUUUACUGUAGCUUUGUAUUGGACUUUGAACAGAUCUGUGUAGGAUAGGUGGGAGGCUUUGAAGCAGGGUCGCUAGAUCUUGUGGAGCCAACGUUGAAAUACCACCCUGGUGUGUUUGAGGUUCUAACCUAGUCCCGUAAUCCGGGUUGGGGACAGUGCAUGGUAGGCAGUUUGACUGGGGCGGUCUCCUCCCAAAGUGUAACGGAGGAGUUCGAAGGUACGCUAGUUACGGUCGGACAUCGUGACGAUAGUGCAAUGGCAUAAGCGUGCUUAACUGCGAGACUGACAAGUCGAGCAGAUGCGAAAGCAGGACAUAGUGAUCCGGUGGUUCUGUAUGGAAGGGCCAUCGCUCAACGGAUAAAAGGUACUCUGGGGAUAACAGGCUGAUACCGCCCAAGAGUUCAUAUCGACGGCGGUGUUUGGCACCUCGAUGUCGGCUCAUCUCAUCCUGGGGCUGUAGCCGGUCCCAAGGGUAUGGCUGUUCGCCAUUUAAAGAGGUACGUGAGCUGGGUUUAAAACGUCGUGAGACAGUUUGGUCCCUAUCUUCCGUGGGCGCUGCAGAUUUGAGGAAGCCUGCUCCUAGUACGAGAGGACCGGAGUGGACGCACCUCUGGUGUAUCGGUUGUCACGCCAGUGGCAUUGCCGAGUAGCUAUGUGCGGAAGAGAUAACCGCUGAAAGCAUCUAAGCGGGAAACUCGUUUCAAGAUGAGAUCUGCCGGGGCCUUGAGCCCCCUGAAGAGUCGUUCAAGACCAGGACGUUGAUAGGUCGGGUGUGGAAGCGCAGUAAUGCGUUAAGCUAACUGAUACUAAUUGCUCGUGCGGCUUGACCCU